rnacentral:rRNA from 1 species
AACGGAGGCGCUCAAAGGUUCCCUCAGAAUGGUUGGAAAUCAUUCAUAGAGUGUAAAGGCAUAAGGGAGCUUGACUGCGAGACCUACAAGUCGAGCAGGGGCGAAAGACGGACUUAGUGAUCCGGUGGUUCCGCAUGGAAGGGCCAUCGCUCAACGGAUAAAAGCUACCCCGGGGAUAACAGGCUUAUCUCCCCCAAGAGUUCACAUCGACGGGGAGGUU